GGGGAAAGAGCCAUACUUUUUCUUAAAGCUGUCUGAAAAGCAGAGUUUGCUGUUCAUGAGAAUUCUUUCCAACUGGAGUGGCAGCAGCUCAACUAACAAAACCGCCAGCUUUCCUUAGAAGCUGCAGAGGAAUCCCAGAAAUGGUGAUGUGGGAAGAGCCCUACCUGGACACAGACAUGAAAGCAGAAAUGCAUCCAGCUGUCUGCAGAAGAGCAGUUACAUAUCUAAUUUGGCCGGUGUGCAGGGAGCUGGCAUUAAGAGCUACAAGACAUCUGGGACUGGGCUGUUGGAAGGACUGGGUCCAGCAUGAGGAAACCCUCACAACCCUCAACACCUCACAGCACCUGCCUUCUCCUGAGAUGGGGCUGCAUUGUUUUUCCUUCUCUUACUGCACAGAUCAUUUCCACUUAGAGUAUAUCUACAUAGUGCAGGAAAAGUGCAAGGGUCACUGUAGCCACAGUGCUGAGAUGCAUUAGCACAGCUGAACAGCCUUCAGUAGGGGAAUAAUCCUUGUGUUUUAUAUACCAUACAUCUAUAUUCCAGGCUGGUUCUAGAGUAUGUCCCUGCUUCAGGAUAAGUAUAGGACUCAAAGAUAAAAAUAUAGUUUAAAUGAUAGUGUAUUUAUCUUUUGAUUUUUAAAGUGAUUUUCAGUGAACGAGAGUGUUCUUGGCAUAAUACUCUACUGCUUCUCCACUGUUGAUACUAUCACACUGUAACUGAGGCUGCCACCAGUGCUUGUCAAACUGGAGGUAUCAAGGCAUUUAUCAGACCAUGGUUGAGCUCCUAAAUAAGAAGUAUUACUUGCCUUGCUUCUUUUUACCACAGGUUUUGCAAAUUAAAUGUUUUAAACAUGAUGAAAACAUGUCUGUUUCGCAAAUGGUUUAUUGACCAAGUUGUUUUAUGUUUAGAAAGAAAUGUGCCUGUAAGUAAGAACUAUACGAGCUGGACAGGGCAUAUAAACUGAAACAAAAGAAUGCCUUGAUUAAAUGUACUUAAAAGUUCACCAUCAUGAUUAAUGGUUUUCUAAGCUCUCAAGAGUGCCCCAAAGACCAUAUAUUAAAUCAUGAAUGCUUUUUGAAUAUGCUUUAUCGGCAGAUGUUCAUUAAAUGUACCGUUAUUACAGGUGUAUGUAUUUCCUUGAGUUCUUUACUAUAUUUUGAGUUCUUUACAGAUUAAUGGUUACACAUAUGCAUCAGCCUUCUUACAGGAAAAAACAACAAAAAAAAAGACACUCCCAUCCUCAAAAAAAGCACCUUGUACUACAGUAGUAAAUAUGCUUUUGGUAUGCUUAAUUUUUUUUGCUUCUUGAGCUGGCCCAAUCUCCUUGCCAGACUUUAACGUACAAAAACAUGUUAUGCUUACUAUAUUUAGAUAGGCAAUUCUGCAUAAUCUGGCUCUCCUCCUAAAUUACAUACAUUAUGACUCUUUUGAGCUUUCUUAUUACAUUAUCAGUCUAAUGAACUGUUCCAGUAUAUUGAUUCAGUGACAUAAAAUCAGUGCAAAAAUUUGUUAGCUGGGGCCUGAGCUGUUGGCUGCGCUCAGCUUGAUUUGCAUCAUGUCAUGCCACUGUGUGAAUGAAAGAGGUAGGCACAGCACAGGGACAGCUUCCAGCAAAGGAAAGCUGUCAUGCUGGCUCUUAGGACACAGUGACAGGCAUUAGAGACACUAUCGAAGGACACAGAACAUGUGCGUAGCAUGAUGAGUCACAGGUGCCUUGAAGUUCUUGAUGAGCUACGUAAAUGUAUGCAUCUCUUAGCAACUCUAACUUAGCAGACACUGGAAGCAUGGAGGCUUCAGCUGUUAAAGUCAUGUUGGCAUGCUCACGUAUGCCUUUACUAGAGUCAUAUAGUAUACUCCUUGGACAUAACUGAGGAUUGAGAUUGACAUGUUUAGCUGGGCAUCUGGACAAACAUUAAACUGUUUUUUGAACAAUAAUUUAGAAGAAAGUGCCCACAUGAACACUGGUUAUCUGGAAAUUUUUUAUGAUAUGUGAAACGGUUGAUAUAUAUGAAUAUGAAUGUAAGAUAUAUGAAAUGGUUUAUGAUAUUUGAAAUGUUGAGAUCACAAUUAGGAAAUGAAUAAGGCCUGUGAUCAUUCUAAGUGAUUUGUAUCUCCUAAAGCAUUAUAGGGGCUUUAGAAUUCUCUCUCUCUCUCUCCUAUUUUUUUAUUUUUAUUUUUGGUUCAGGAAAGAGAUACAUUGUCACCACUUUUGAUUUUUGGACCUCCUUGGGAUCAGAAUCUUGGUCCCUAGUAUCUCAUUCAAGUAGCUGAAGAAUGGAUGGCGAAUAUCAUGACAAGGAAAAAAAGGCUUAAUUACAGGGCAUUUAAUUUGGGGAAUUAAUCUUUCUAGCCUGAAAGCAGAAUAAUUUAACUAAUUCCACUAUCAAUACUGUGCCCUUACAUGUACAAUGCACCUAUAGGUUCAGACUGUCAAAUUGGAAGGUACUAAUAAAAAUAUCAACUUCAUUAGUCA
rnacentral:lncRNA from 1 species